AUUAUUUAUUAUAGUGACAUGUGUAUCACAACAUACAUUUAUACAAUUAUAUACAUAGCAAUUUGAUAUUUACACCCGGCCCAUUGGACCUAUAUGUCACUUUAGCAAUAUAAUAUCAUAUCCGAAAACGUAAAAGUUUACAAAAUAAAAAUACAGAAUUAGACGUAAAGUUGUUUUUUUUCUAUGAAUGAAAGCUGAAUUUACAAAUUUUGCAGUUUGAAUUUGAUAGUAUUUCAAUAAAUGGAUAAGUUUUUCGCUAUUGUCACUAAAAUUGUCUAAUGCGGCCAUAGGUAGAAACCUUUGUCUAAGUUUGUCAUAACAUGGACAGUUUAACAUAAAAUGUUUUUCAUCUUCGACCUCUUGCUUUUCACACAGUACACAUAUUCGGUCUGGUAGCGCUUCGUUACGGAACCUUCCAGUCUCAAUGCGUAUAGGAAGAAUCCCACAUCUUAAUUGGGAAAGAGCCGAUCGUUCUUGUUUAGACAGAUUUGAUGUAAUAUACUGUUCUAGUUCGUAAUUUUCUUUGAAGGUCACAAAUGUUCGUAGUUUCGGUGAUAAAGCAGAUUUGUAUUUCCAUUCACUUUCAGUAUAACAUAAAAGUUUUUCU
rnacentral:lncRNA from 1 species